rnacentral:rRNA from 1 species
GGGAAUCUACCGUGCCCUGCGGAAUAGCUCCGGGAAACUGGAAUUAAUACCGCAUACGCCCUACGGGGGAAAGAUUUAUCGGGGUAUGAUGAGCCCGCGUUGGAUUAGCUAGUUGGUGGGGUAAAGGCCUACCAAGGCGACGAUCCAUAGCUGGUCUGAGAGGAUGAUCAGCCACAUUGGGACUGAGACACGGCCCAAACUCCUACGGGAGGCAGCAGUGGGGAAUAUUGGACAAUGGGCGCAAGCCUGAUCCAGCCAUGCCGCGUGAGUGAUGAAGGCCUUAGGGGUGUAAAGCUCUUUCACCGGAGAAGAUAAUGACGGUAUCCGGAGAAGAAGCCCCGGCUAACUUCGUGCCAGCAGCCGCGGUAAUACGAAGGGGGCUAGCGUUGUUCGGAAUUACUGGGCGUAAAGCGCACGUAGGCGGAUAUUUAAGUCAGGGGUGAAAUCCCAGAGCUCAACUCUGGAACUGCCUUUGAUACUGGGUAUCUUGAGUAUGGAAGAGGUAAGUGGAAUUGCGAGU